rnacentral:rRNA from 1 species
UAUACCGUGAAACUGCGAAUGGCUCAUUAAAUCAGUUAUCGUUUAUUUGAUAGUACCUUACUACUUGGAUAACCGUGGUAAUUCUAGAGCUAAUACAUGCUGAAAACCCCAACUUCGGGAGGGGUGUAUUUAUUAGAUAAAAAACCAACGCCCUUCGGGGCUUCUUGGUGAUUCAUGAUAACUUCACGGAUCGCAUGGCCUUGCGCCGGCGACGGUUCAUUCAAAUUUCUGCCCUAUCAACUUUCGAUGGUAAGGUAUUGGCUUACCAUGGUUUCAACGGGUAACGGGGAAUUAGGGUUCGAUUCCGGAGAGGGAGCCUGAGAAACGGCUACCACAUCCAAGGAAGGCAGCAGGCGCGCAAAUUACCCAAUCCCGACACGGGGAGGUAGUGACAAUAAAUACUGAUACAGGGCUCUUUUGGGUCUUGUAAUUGGAAUGAGUACAAUUUAAACCUCUUAACGAGGAACAAUUGGAGGGCAAGUCUGGUGCCAGCAGCCGCGGUAAUUCCAGCUCCAAUAGCGUAUAUUAAAGUUGUUGCAGUUAAAAAGCUCGUAGUUGAAACUUGGGCCUGGCUGGCGGGUCCGCCUCACCGCGUGUACUUGUCCGGCCGGGCCUUUCCUUCUGGAGAACCUCAUGCCCUUCACUGGGUGUGCUGGGGAACCAGGACUUUUACUUUGAAAAAAUUAGAGUGUUCAAAGCAGGCCUUUGCUCGAAUACGUUAGCAUGGAAUAAUAGAAUAGGACGUGCGGUCCUAUUUUGUUGGUUUCUAGGACCGCCGUAAUGAUUAAUAGGGACAGUCGGGGGCAUCAGUAUUCAAUUGUCAGAGGUGAAAUUCUUGGAUUUAUUGAAGACUAACUACUGCGAAAGCAUUUGCCAAGGAUGUUUUCAUUAAUCAGUGAACGAAAGUUAGGGGAUCGAAGACGAUCAGAUACCGUCGUAGUCUUAACCGUAAACUAUGCCGACUAGGGAUCGGGCGAUGUUCUUUUUCUGACUCGCUCGGCACCUUACGAGAAAUCAAAGUU